rnacentral:tRNA from 1 species
GGUGGGGUGGCCGAGCGGUUUAAGGCGGCAGUCUUGAAAACUGCUAUACCAGAAAUGGUAUCGUGAGUUCGAAUCUCACCCCCACCGCCA